UGAUACAAUUACAAAAAAAGACUGGUUAUAAUGAACAGUAAGACCUAUGAUGAAUAAAUGGUACUGUAGGGAUAGGUGGGUUUUCUCUAUGAUUAAUGAAUGGUACUGUAGGGAUAGGUGGGUUUUCUCUAUGAUUAAUGAAUGGUACUGUAGGGAUAGGUGGGUUUUCUCUAUGAUUAAUGAAUGGUACUGUAGGGAUAGGUGGGUUUUCUCUAUGAUUAAUGAAUGGUACUGUAGGGAUAGGUGGGUUUUCUCUAUGAUUAAUGAAUGGUACUGUAGGGAUAGGUGGGUUUUCUCUAUGAUUAAUAAAUGGUACUGUAGGGAUAGGUGGGUUUUCUCUAUGAUUAAUGAAUGGUACUGUAGGGAUAGGUGGGUUUUCUCUAUGAUUAAUGAAUGGUACUGUAGGGAUAGGUGGGUUUUCUCUAUGAUUAAUGAAUGGUACUGUAGGGAUAGGUGGGUUUUCUCUAUGAUUAAUGAAUGGUACUGUAGGGAUAGGUGGGUUUUCUCUAUGAUUAAUGAAUGGUACUGUAGGGAUAGGUGGGUUUUCUCUAUGAUUAAUGAAUGGUACUGUAGGGAUAGGUGGGUUUUCUCUAUGAUUAAUGAAUGGUACUGUAGGGAUAGGUGGGUUUUCUCUAUGAUUAAUGAAUGGUACUGUAGGGAUAGGUGGGUUUUCUCUAUGAUUAAUGAAUGGUACUGUAGGGAUAGGUGGGUUUUCUCUAUGAUUAAUGAAUGGUACUGUAGGGAUAGGUGGGUUUUCUCUAUGAUUAAUAAAUGGUACUGUAGGGAUAGGUGGGUUUUCUCUAUGAUUAAUGAAUGGUACUGUAGGGAUAGGUGGGUUUUCUCUAUGAUUAAUGAAUGGUACUGUAGGGAUAGGUGGGUUUUCUCUAUGAUUAAUG